GCAUUGGUAGUUCAGUGGUGGAAUUCUUGCCUUCCACACUGGUUACCAAGGUUCCAUUCCUGGCCAGUGCA
rnacentral:tRNA from 1 species